AGCUCCAAUAGCGUAUAUUAAAGUUGUUGCAGUUAAAAAGCUCGUAGUUGGAUUUCUGGAUUGACUGGACGGUCUGCCUCAAAAGCAGUACUGUCUGUGUCGAUCCUUCCUCUCGAAGACCGUAUGUGCCCUUAACUGGGUGUGUACUGGGAUUCGGGACCUUUACUUUGAAAAAAUUAGAGUGUUCAAAGCAGGCCUUCGCUUGAAUACAUUAGCAUGGAAUAAUGGAAUAGGACUUUAGUUCUAUUUUGUUGGUUUCUAGGACUGAAGUAAUGAUUAAAAGGGAUAGUUGGGGGCAUUAGUAUUUAAUUGUCAGAGGUGAAAUUCUUAGAUUUAUGAAAGACUAACUUCUGCGAAAGCAUUUGCCAAGGAUGUUUUCA
rnacentral:rRNA from 1 species